rnacentral:sRNA from 1 species
AACAGCAUCAAACGACAGGAAAUUGGGAUUCUCGUAUGAGAGGAGAUAUAUAUGUAUAUUAGCCCUUAGCCCGGUCAACUACACACGAGAGCGAAGUAUACUCCAGCUUUUAUUUUGUCUCUUCCGUGGAAUCCCCAGAUAUCCUACAGGGGGACAUUUUUUUCAAACAAAAUUUUCGAAAAUCAUUUAAGCCAUGGAAACAAGAACUGGCCAAACGACAGGCAUCACGUCGCCCCUGCCGCUCACAUUUGAAGAAAUUGAUGACCUCAUCUACUCCGCACGUCUGGGAGACGUAGACGCGCUGCGGACAGAUAUCACGAGCCUCAGCCAGAAAUACAGCUGUUCCGCUUCUGAUAUCAUACAGUCCGCUAUCGACAUGGAAGAUGAGAGUCAGGGUGGAACAGGGGCGUGCUUGUUGCAUUGGCCCGCUGCGAACGGGAAUAUUGAAACGCUCAAUUACCUCCUUAGCCUCCUCUCGACGACGCCUACACAAAGCCCAUCACAGACAACAGCUACUGCCCAAACAUCCCAAGACUCAACAACAACGGCAAUACCGAUAAGCCCGAUCAUUAACCAUCGGAACAACUCUGGUAACACUCCGUUGCAUUGGGCGGCGCUAAACACGCACUUAGAGUGCGUUAAGGCGCUCGUCCAUGCUGGCGCAGGCAUUGCCAUCAAGAACGACGCGGGCCAUGAUGCCGUCUUCCUCGCUGAGAGGUCAGGGUGGACCGCGUUGCCUGCAGAUGAUGAAAAAGGGGAAGAUGGAGAGACAGAAGCAACUACGAAUGGUGUGGAGG